rnacentral:rRNA from 1 species
UACGAAGGGGGCUAGCGUUGUUCGGAAUCACUGGGCGUAAAGCGCACGUAGGCGGAUUUUUAAGUCAGGGGUGAAAUCCCGAGGCUCAACCUCGGAACUGCCUUUGAUACUGGGGAUCUGGAGUCCGGGAGAGGUGAGCGGAACUGCGAGUGUAGAGGUGAAAUUCGUAGAUAUUCGCAAGAACACCAGUGGCGAAGGCGACUUACUGGACACAUAUUGACGCUGAGGUGCGAAAGCGUGGGGAGCAAACAGG